rnacentral:antisense_RNA from 1 species
AGCGAGGCUUGCCCGCGAAGGCGUCGUGUCAGUCGAUAUUAAUGCUGGCUGAUACGACGCCUUCGCGGGCAAGCCUCGCU